rnacentral:SRP_RNA from 1 species
CCGCGCUAGACGGGGAGCUAGCGGUGCCCUGAACCCGAAAUCCGCUUACGCGGGGUUGAAUUCCUUUUCGAGGGCUUAACUUAAAAGGUAACUAGCCUUACGUUGAAAAGGGUCUGACUUCACGCAACAGACGGUCACGAACCCCGUCAGAUCCGGAAGGAAGCAGCGGUAAAUGAUGCGGUUUGUGUCGUGAAUGUUCGGGCCUUGAUUUCGCGUCAGGUCAAGCCCUUUUAAGAUCGGCUCGACAAAGGGUGCGCGG